rnacentral:rRNA from 1 species
GAUGAACGCUGGCGGCGUGCUUAACACAUGCAAGUCGAACGAUGAAGCCCAGCUUGCGGGGUGGCUUCGUGGCGCACGGGUGAGUAACACAUGAGUAACCUGCGCCUUACUCUGGGAUAAGCCUGGGAAAAUGGGGCUAAUAUACGAUAGGAGCGCCCCCCGUACGGUGGGUGGUGGAGAGAUUUAUCGGUUUUGGGUGGACUCGCGGCCUAUCAGCUUGUUGGUGAGGGAAUGGCUCACCAAGGCGCCGACGGGUAGCCGGCCUGAGAGGGUGACCGGCCACACUGGGACUGAGACACGGCCCAGACUCCUACGGGAGGCAGCAGUGGGGAAUAUUGCACAAUGGGCGAAAGCCUGAUGCAGCAACGCCGCGUGAGGGAUGACGGCCUUCGGGUUGUAAACCUCUUUCGGUAGGGAAGAAGCGAGAGUGACGGUACCUGCAGAAGAAGCACCGGCUAACUACGUG